AACAGCGUAAUUCAGAGGAAGAAUGCGAGGCUCAUAUUACGUAACGCCAAUGGCGUUCGGUUUGAUCACCUCGAAGUCAUGGGAUCGAAACCCAUCGCUGUUA
rnacentral:tRNA from 1 species